AUACAUAGGGGGCGAGCGUUAUCCGGAUUUAUUGGGCGUAAAGGGUGCGUAGGCGGUAAAUUAAGUCUAAGGUUAAAGUGCAGGGCUCAACCCUGUGAUGCCUUAGAAACUGGUUUACUUGAGUUUGGUAGAGGUAAGUGGAACUCCAUGUGUAGCGGUAAAAUGCGUAAAUAUAUGGAAGAACACCAGUGGGGAAGGCGGCUUACUGGGCCACAACUGACGCUGAGGCACGAAAGCGUGGGGAGCAAACAGGAUUAGAUACCCUGGUAGUCCACGCUGUAAACGAUGAAUACUAAGUGUUGGAAAAAUCCAGUGCUGAAGUUAACGCAUUAAGUAUUCCGCCUGAGUAGUACGUACGCAAGUAUGAAACUCAAAGGAAUUGACGGGG
rnacentral:rRNA from 1 species